rnacentral:rRNA from 1 species
CCAGCCCGCUCAGAAACUUAAAGGAAUUGACGGGGGCCCGCACAAGCGGUGGAGCAUGUGGUUUAAUUCGAUGAUACGCGAGGAACCUUACCUGGGCUCAAAUGUAUGUUGACGUAUUCUGAAAGGGAUACUUCUUCGGACAAUAUACAAGGUGCUGCAUGGUUGUCGUCAGCUCGUGCCGUGAGGUGUCGGGUUAAGUCCCAUAACGAGCGCAACCCCUAUCAUUAGUUGCCAUCAGGUCAAGCUGGGGACUCUAAUGAAACUGCCUACGCAAGUAGUGAGGAAGGUGGGGAUGACGUCAAAUCAGCACGGCCCUUACGUCCAGGGCGACACACGUGCUACAAUGGCCGGCACAACGGGAAGCGAGUUCGCGAGGACGAGCGGAUCCCUUAAAGCCGGUCGCAGUUCGGAUUGAAGUCUGCAACUCGACUUCAUGAAGCUGGAAUCGCUAGUAAUCGCAGAUCAGCCAAGCUGCGGUGAAUACGUUCCCAGGCCUU